rnacentral:rRNA from 1 species
UAAGACGUAGGGUGCGAGCGUUGUCCGGAUUUAUUGGGCGUAAAGAGCUCGUAGGCGGCUCGUCGCGUCGACCGUGAAAACCCGCAGCUUAACUGCGGGCUUGCGGUUGAUACGGGCGGGCUAGAGUUCGGUAGGGGAGACUGGAAUUCCUGGUGUAGCGGUGAAAUGCGCAGAUAUCAG